UUACCCAAUCCCGAUUCGGGGGGGUAGUGACAAUAAAUAACAAUACAGGGCCAACGGUCUUGUUAUUGGAAUGAGAACAAUUUAAAUAACUUAACGGGGAUCAAUUAGAGGGCAAGUCUGGUGCCAGCAGCCGCGGUAAUUCCAGCUCUAAUAGCGUAUAUUAAAGUUGUUGCAGUUAAAAAGCUCGUAGUCGGAUGUCGGGCUCGGGCAGGCUGUCGGCUCCGGUCGGACGGCAGGCUCGGGUCUUUCUGCCUGAGGAUCCCGUUGCACUUAAUUGUGGGGCGUGGGGACGCAGGCCGUUUACUUUGAAAAAAUUAGAGUGUUCAAAGCAGGCCUACGCUUGAAUACACUAGCAUGGAAUAAUGGAAUAGGACUUUGGUGCUAUUUUGUUGGUUUAUGGGACCGAAGUAAUGAUUAACAGGGACAGUUGGGGCCGUUUAUAUUUCGUUGUCAGAGGUGAAAUUCUUGGAUUUACGAAAGAUAAACUUCUGCGAAAGCAUUCGGCAAGGAUGUUUUCAUUGAUCAAGAACGAAAGUUAGGGGAUCGAAGACGAUCAGAUACCGUCGUAGUCUUAACCAUAAACUAUGCCGACUAGGGAUCAGUGGAUGUCAAUUUGCGACUCCAUUGGCACCUUGUGAGAAAUCAAAGUUUUUGGGUUCCGGGGGGAGUAUGGUCGCAAGGCUGAAACUUAAAGGAAUUGACGGAAGGGCACCACCAGGAGUGGAGCCUGCGGCUUAAUUUGACUCAACACGGGGAAACUUACCAGGUCCAGACAUAGUAAGGAUUGACAGAUUGAAAGCUCUUUCUUGA
rnacentral:rRNA from 1 species